UCUGUAUCUCUGUUAAUAUUGCAUUGAAAAAACGUUACUUGUAUUUUUUACUGUGUAUCUGUGCAAUGAAGUUCUUUGCUUGGAAAAAUUAUAGAAAAGAUG